UACAGAGGGUGCGAGCGUUGUCCGGAAUCACUGGGCGUAAAGGGCUCGUAGGCGGCCAACUAAGUCGGAUGUGAAAUCCCCAGGCUCAACUUGGGAACUGCAUCCGAUACUGGAUGGCUUGAAUUCGGGAGAGGGAUGCAGAAUUCCAGGUGUAGCGGUGAAAUGCGUAGAUAUCUGGAGGAAUACCGGUGGCGAAGGCGGCAUCCUGGACCGACAUUGACGCUGAGGAGCGAAAGCUAGGGGAGCAAACGGG
rnacentral:rRNA from 1 species